rnacentral:tRNA from 1 species
CAUUAGAUGACUGAAAGCAAGUAAUGGUCUCUUAAACCACAUAAUAGUAAAUUAGUGAUUACUUCUAAUGA